GUGAGGUGGUAAACAGAGGAGUUGGCCCUGCCCUGUUCCGUCUUCGCUGCCGGUCUCAGCCGCCCCGUGCACAGCCGGAGCUUAGGUCCAGGGCUUUUUACAUUUCGUCUGAAAUCGUAGUGGGUUUUCGAGAUGUUUUGUCUCAGAAGCCAAACCCUUCUCUGUGACCUUGCCUGCCCCUCCAGUCCCUCUCUGCCCGGACCUGCACUCAGGAGAGCCUAGUCCUAGACCCACAUUUCACAAUUCAGCACUUGUGGUUAACCUGCACCCCAGAAUGCCUUUCCCAAGCCCGGCACAGAGCUAAUCCUGCAACCCCUGGAAGGCAGCUCAGGCCCCUCCAAAACUCCGUUGAUGGUGCUUGCCUCCCUGUCAGGUGCUCAUGUCAUAGCGUGCAUUUUGUGUUAUAUUGUGGUUGUGCGUCUCUCAACUGGGUAGACUGAGCUUCAGGACAAACAGCAUCUUGUUCAUAUUUGUAUCUCCAACCUCUAGCGCAGUGCGGGGGGCACCACAUGCACACCGGUGUGUGUUGACCAGUGGCUGAAUGAAGAGCCUAUGAUCAGUGGGAGAGGCGAUUUACAUUGGAUUUUAAAAGAGACUACUGUAGAUGUGUACUGUCUUCCACCCCAGUUGUAACUGCCUGUAUGUGCUAGCCCAAUAUAAAGUAUGCUAGAUAUCAUAAAAGCAACUCACAAUGAUAGAAAGCUGGCUAACAUAGCUCUAAAGUAGAUAAAUCUGGCCAGGGAUUUAGCUCAGUGGUUUCACCGCCUGCUGCGCAAGUGCAAGGACCCGAGUUCGAUCCCCAGCACCAAAAACAAAAAACAAAUAAAGUAGAUAAAGCUGAUCUUCAGGGAAACACCUCCCCCAAAAAGAAAAGGAAAGAACCAGUACUUGAAACAGUUGUUUACCCAUCAUGCAAGUACUUAUUCUCCCUUCCAGCCCACCUUCCUUGGACUUCUGAUUCUCAUUUUCUCUCUCCACAGACUCCAACCUUUUGGGUUGCUGUUCACUAGGUAAGGAAAACAGUCACCCUGAGUUGGGCCAAUUAAUAAUUUAUUUUCUUAAUU
rnacentral:lncRNA from 1 species